CCUACGGGAGGCAGCAGUGGGGAAUAUUGCACAAUGGGGGAAACCCUGAUGCAGCGACGCCGCGUGAGUGAAGAAUUACUUCGGUAUGUAAAGCUCUAUCAGCAGGGAAGAAAAUGACGGUACCUGAUUAAGAAGCCCCGGCUAACUACGUGCCCGCAGCCGCGGUCAUACGUAGGGGGCAAGCGUUAUCCGGAUUUACUGGGUGUAAAGGGAGCGUAGACGGCAGCACAAGUCUGGAGUGAAAUGCCGGGGCUUAACCCCUGAACUGCUUUGGAAACUGUGCAGCUAGAGUGCAGGAGAGGUAAGUGGAAUUCCUAGUGUAGCGGUGAAAUGCGUAGAUAUUAGGAGGAACACCAGUGGCGAAGGCGGCUUACUGGACUGUAACUGACGUUGAGGCUCGAAAGCGUGGGGAGCAAACAGGAUUAGAUACCCUUGUAGUC
rnacentral:rRNA from 1 species